rnacentral:tRNA from 2 species
GCGGGUGUGGCGGAACUGGCAGACGCACUAGACUUAGGAUCUAGCGCCUUUGGCGUGCAGGUUCGAUUCCUGUCACCCGCACCA